rnacentral:rRNA from 1 species
UGUGAGCUCGAUGAGUAGGGCGGGACACGUGGUAUCCUGUCUGAAUAUGGGGGGACCAUCCUCCAAGGCUAAAUACUCCUGACUGACCGAUAGUGAACCAGUACCGUGAGGGAAAGGCGAAAAGAACCCCGGCGAGGGGAGUGAAAAAGAACCUGAAACCGUGUACGUACAAGCAGUGGGAGCCCCACCACUAAGCCAGUGGUGAACUCCACAUACGCAUCCUUUGCUGAGGAUACGGUUAACGGAGCGAAAGCGACGUUCAACCUCAAAAGAAGCAGAGGGGGCUUAGUGGUGGGGUGACUGCGUACCUUUUGUAUAAUGGGUCAGCGACUUAUAUUCUGUAGCAAGGUUAACCGAAUAGGGGAGCCGCAGGGAAACCGAGUCUUAACUGGGCGUUAAGUUGCAGGGUAUAGACCCGAAACCCGGUGAUCUAGCCAUGGGCAGGUUGAAGGUUGGGUAACACUAACUGGAGGACCGAACCGACUAAUGUUGAAAAAUUAGCGGAUGACCUGUGGCUGGGGGUGAAAGGCCAAUCAAACCGGGAGAUAGCUGGUUCUCCCCGAAAGCUAUUUAGGUAGCGCCUCGUGAAUUCAUCUUCGGGGGUAGAGCACUGUUUCGGCUAGGGGGUCAUCCCGACUUACCAACCCGAUGCAAACUGCGAAUACCGGAGAAUGUUAUCACGGGAGACACACGGCGGGUGCUAACGUCCGUCGUGAAGAGGGAAACAACCCAGACCGCCAGCUAAGGUCCCAAAGUCAUGGUUAAGUGGGAAACGAUGUGGGAAGGCCCAGACAGCCAGGAUGUUGGCUUAGAAGCAGCCAUCAUUUAAAGAAAGCGUAAUAGCUCACUGGUCGAGUCGGCCUGCGCGGAAGAUGUAACGGGGCUAAACCAUGCACCGAAGCUGCGGCAGCGAACGUAUCACUUAAAGCGAUUCAGCGGGUUACGAUUGACGGAGCGAAGCGACGUCAAAGCGUAUAGAAAGUCGAGUCGGUUUAAGGAUACGUUCGUUGGGUAGGGGAGCGUUCUGUAAGCCUGUGAAGGUGUGUCGUGAGGCAUGCUGGAGGUAUCAGAAGUGCGAAUGCUGACAUAAGUAACGAUAAUGCGGGUGAAAAACCCGCUCGCCGGAAGACCAAGGGUUCCUGUCCAACGUUAAUCGGGGCAGGGUGAGUCGACCCCUAAGGCGAGGCCGAAAGGCGUAGUCGAUGGGAAACAGGUUAAUAUUCCUGUACUCGGUGUUACUGCGAAGGGGGGACGGAGAAGGCUAUGUUGGCCGGGCGACGGUUGUCCCGGUUUAAGCGUGUAGGUGUGUGGACCAGGCAAAUCCGGUUCACUUUAACACUGAGGCGUGAUGACGAGGCACUACGGUGCUGAAGCAACAAAUGCCCUGCUUCCAGGAAAAGCCUCUAAGCAUCAGGUAACAUCAAAUCGUACCCCAAACCGACACAGGUGGUCAGGUAGAGAAUACCAAGGCGCUUGAGAGAACUCGGGUGAAGGAACUAGGCAAAAUGGUGCCGUAACUUCGGGAGAAGGCACGCUGAUGGUAGGUGAAGUGAUUUACUCAUGGAGCUGAA